rnacentral:rRNA from 1 species
UACAGAGGGCGCGAGCGUUGUCCGGAAUCACUGGGCGUAAAGGGCGCGUAGGUGGCCACUAUAAGGCCGCGGUGAAAGUUCGGGGCUCAACCCUGAAUCGGCCGCGGCGACUGUAGGGCUUGGGCACUGUAGAGGCAGAUGGAAUUCCGGGUGUAGCGGUGGAAUGCGUAGAUAUCAGGAGGAACACCGAUGGCGAAGGCAGAUCUCUGGGCCGUAACUGACGCUGAGGAGCGAAAGCGUGGGGAGCGAACAGG